AUGGCGACGUGGCCAGAGAUAUGAGGUAGUGAUGAUCAAAUCUAAUUAUUUUUAAUACAAAACCAGAGGAAAGGUGGCCAUGCGAGUAUCAGCUGCCUCUCAGAACAUAUUUUUUUCUCGUGCUGGGGUUUUUGGAUGGAACAAUGGCAACACUGGUUGCAGAACAUCAAAUGGAGAUCAAGUGUGUUGUUGGUGACAUGGGUGUUUGUCUUUUGGCUGGUUGUUUGAACUCGUAGCUGCAACUUGGAAUAAUUCAAGAAAAGACAGAAAGCUUUUUACGAAACUGAACUGUUUUGGAUCUUGAACUGUGUACAAGAGAUGGUGACUAACAGUUGCUCCAAAAAUGGAGUCAGCUUCACCCACAAGAGAAGUGUGUGAAAACUGUUUUGAAAACUGGACUGUCUUAAUGCGCUGAACGGAUCUUGAACUGUGUACAAGAGAUGGGUGACUAAUAGCUGACCCAGUAAUGGAGUCAGCUUCACCCACAAAGUCUCUUCCUCGGCCUUGAUCUGGGAUGACAAGACCUGGUCCACCGAAAAACAAAAGAGAAGUGUGUGAAAAUUGUUGUGGAAACUGGACUGUCUUGCUGCGCUGAACGGAUCUCGAAUUGUGCACAAGAGAUACCGGUAGUUUUCUCAUGGCAAGCUAAUCACGUCCUGUUGGAUUGAAGAUGCUAUACCAGUGAGAAGUCGAUCCCCUCUGAAAUACUCUAAACAAAAAAUUUUGGAUAGCUCCAUCUCAUCAUGAAGCUAGAAGCAGUUGGAUCCAAAGGUUUGGCAUACUGUCAAGAGGAAAGACAUUUGGAUGAAGGACAUAGAACUAGUUGAUGUAAAUUUUAAGAAUUUUGAUGUCGUCAAGUGUUGAACAGACCUGUGAACGCAAGAAAGGUAAAGACGAAGUCGAGAGGUGAGAUGGCUUUGGUGAUAGUUUGCUUGCAAGUUCUCAGAUGGAUAUCGGGAGCAAACUGGAUAAAGCAAAGACUACUAGUUGAAAAGGUCAAGGAGACCAGGAUACUUAAUAACUUGGUUUCUUCGACCACCCAAAACUGGAUACCAACCCAGGAACCCGAUCAGCUCGAGACCAGAGACAAAUAUCAAUCUUCGAAAGAAGCUAAACACGAUUGAAAAAUUGGGGGUGAUCCGUCCCCUGCCUCCUUCCCACCCCGUCAAUUUAUACGUCAAUUUAUACAAUCAUAUACAGACAAGAGAAAGGUGAAUGACAAAUCUAGAACCCUAUGUACAAGGCUGCUAAAAAGCAUU
rnacentral:misc_RNA from 1 species